rnacentral:rRNA from 1 species
UACGUAGGGUGCAAGCGUUGUCCGGAAUUAUUGGGCGUAAAGAGCUCGUAGGUGGUUUGUCGCGUUGUUCGUGAAAACUCACAGCUCAACUGUGGGCGUGCGGGCGAUACGGGCAGACUAGAGUACUGCAGGGGAGACUGGAAUUCCUGGUGUAGCGGUGGAAUGCGCAGAUAUCAGGAGGAACACCGGUGGCGAAGGCGGGUCUCUGGGCGAGUAACUGACGCUGGAGGAGCGAAAAGCCGUGGGGAGCAAACAGG